ACAGGCCGGCGGCGAGCGGGACGCUACUUUCCUGUAUCUGUGAUUUGGCACUCGCCCUGCGUCGGCUCCGCUGUUACUUCUCUCGUCGUGUCUGAGGUGAAAUGUCGCAAGAACAUUCCAGCUGCGUGCCUACCUGCCUACACCUGGGGCCGAGGCCCACAGCACAGCGCCCCCGAUGGACAGAAGCAGCACUGCAACAGUUUGUAUACUUUGUCACCUGCGGUUUGAUCAUUCUUCUCUUUGGUGGAUACUGAAUGAACACCAUAUUAGUAUUAGAAUGAAGAACACCAUUAGUUACUGACAGAGGACAUUCAUAUAUUGCUGAAGUCACGACAGCAGCUAUUGCACGUAUAGGAUUCUACACUUGGACUGUGAUUGCUUGUACAAAUAAAAAUGCAUCUUUUAAAAUGGGGAAUACAUUAUAGAUUUUUGUAAAUGUAUUUUCCCUUAUUAAAAUAC